UGGCUCAGAUUGAACGCUGGCGGCAGGCCUAACACAUGCAAGUCGAGCGGUAGAGAGAAGCUUGCUUCUCUUGAGAGCGGCGGACGGGUGAGUAAUGCCUAGGAAUCUGCCUGGUAGUGGGGGAUAACGUUCGGAAACGAACGCUAAUACCGCAUACGUCCUACGGGAGAAAGCAGGGGACCUUCGGGCCUUGCGCUAUCAGAUGAGCCUAGGUCGGAUUAGCUAGUUGGUGAGGUAAUGGCUCACCAAGGCGACGAUCCGUAACUGGUCUGAGAGGAUGAUCAGUCACACUGGAACUGAGACACGGUCCAGACUCCUACGGGAGGCAGCAGUGGGGAAUAUUGGACAAUGGGCGAAAGCCUGAUCCAGCCAUGCCGCGUGUGUGAAGAAGGUCUUCGGAUUGUAAAGCACUUUAAGUUGGGAGGAAGGGCAGUUACCUAAUACGUGAUUGUUUUGACGUUACCGACAGAAUAAGCACCGGCUAACUCUGUGCCAGCAGCCGCGGUAAUACAGAGGGUGCAAGCGUUAAUCGGAAUUACUGGGCGUAAAGCGCGCGUAGGUGGUUUGUUAAGUUGGAUGUGAAAUCCCCGGGCUCAACCUGGGAACUGCAUUCAAAACUGACUGACUAGAGUAUGGUAGAGGGUGGUGGAAUUUCCUGUGUAGCGGUGAAAUGCGUAGAUAUAGGAAGGAACACCAGUGGCGAAGGCGACCACCUGGACUAAUACUGACA
rnacentral:rRNA from 1 species